rnacentral:rRNA from 1 species
CCCACUGUGCCCGGGAUAACUUCUGGAAACGGAUGCUAAAACCGGAUAGGUAGCAGACAAGCAUUUGACUGCUAUUAAAGUGGCUAAGGCCAUGAACAUGGAUGGACCUGCGGUGCAUUAGCUAGUUGGUGAGGUAACGGCCCACCAAGGCGACGAUGCAUAGCCGGCCUGAGAGGGCGGACGGCCACAUUGGGACUGAGACACGGCCCAAACUCCUACGGGAGGCAGCAUG